rnacentral:SRP_RNA from 1 species
GCCGGGCACGGUGGCGCGUGCCUGUAAUCCCAGCUACUCAGGAGGCUGAGGCAGGAGAAUCACUUGAACCCAGGAGACAGAGGUUGCAGUGAGCUGAGAUCAUGCCACUGCACUCCAGCCUGGGCCACAGAGCAAGAUUCUGUCUCAC